rnacentral:sRNA from 1 species
GUACCUUCGAAAGAAUUAAUACAUCUCUUAAUUAAACAGUAUACCCCAUAAUAUACAAAACGAAGGUUAUUUUGACUCCCUUUAGUAGAGACUGGAAUGAUGCAGCAUUCCGGUCUUAUUU